rnacentral:rRNA from 1 species
GAUGAACGCUGGCGGCGUGCCUAACACAUGCAAGUCGUACGAGCUCGAUCUUCGGAACGGGUUAGUGGCGCACGGGUGAGUAACACGUAGGUGACCUACCCCAGAGUGGGGGAUAACUUCUCGAAAGAGAGGCUAAUACCGCAUACACUCGGUCAUUCAUUUGGCCGAGCAAAGCUCCGGCGCUUUGGGACGGGCCUGCGUCCGAUUAGCUAGUUGGUAGGGUAAUGGCUUACCAAGGCUUUGAUCGGUAGCUGGUCUGAGAGGACGAUCAGCCACACUGGCACUGACACACGGGCCAGACUCCUACGGGAGGCAGCAGUGAGGAAUAUUGGGCAAUGGGCGAAAGCCUGACCCAGCAACGCCGCGUGAGGGAUGAAGGCCUUCGGGUUGUAAACCUCUUUCUGGGAGAAGAGACAAGGACGGUAUCCCAGGAAUAAGUCUCGGCUAACUACGUGCCAGCAGCCGCGGU